rnacentral:rRNA from 1 species
CCAACCCUUGAGAGUGGCGAACGGGUGAGUAAUAUAGUCGGACGUGCCCAGUCGUGGGGAUAACGUAGCGAAAGUUACGCUAAUACCGCAUACGAUCUAAGGAUGAAAGCGGGGGACUCGCAAGAGCCUCGCGCGAUUGGAGCGGCCGAUAUCAGAUUAGGUAGUUGGUGGGGUAAAGGCUCACCAAGCCGACGAUCUGUAGCUGGUCUGAGAGGACGACCAGCCACACUGGGACUGAGACACGGCCCAGACUCCUACGGGAGGCAGCAGUGGGGAAUUUUGGACAAUGGGCGCAAGCCUGAUCCAGCAAUGCCGCGUGCAGGAUGAAGGCCUUCGGGUUGUAAACUGCUUUUGUACGGAACGAAACGGUGAGCUCUAAUACAGUUUGCUAAUGACGGUACCGUAAGAAUAAGCACCGGCUAACUACGUG